AUGGCAGGCGAGGACACCGACCCCAAGUCCAGCGCUUCUGCUGCUGCUGUGCCGCAAUUUACCUCGAAUGGUUUUACUGCUUCCAUGAGACCUCCUAUGGUUGAGGGUAUCCACUAUAAGAGGUGGCGCGUGAGAGCAGUCUUAUGGUUUCAAACCAUGAGUUGCUAUGACACCACUCUUGGCAAACCUGAAGGAGAGCAAAAUGCCCAACAGGCACAAGCUUUUCAGAAAAUGGAUACCUUGUUUAAGGCUGCUCUCUUGAGUGUUCUUGGUGAGAACAUAGUUGAUGCUUAUGCGUCAAUUGACAAUGGAAAAGAUAUGUGGGACACACUCGAGGCCAAGUUUGGGGUCUCGGAUGCCGGCACUGAACUGUACAUCGUGGAGCAAUUCUAUGAUUACAGGAUGACUGAAGAGUGCUCCGUGGUUGAGCAGGCUCAUGAGAUACAGUCAUUUGCUAGAGAACUUGAGCACUUCAAUUGUAUCCUACCGGACAAGUUUGUUACCGGGGGUAUCAUCACUAAGCUUCCUCCUUCUUGGAGGAACUUUGCUACCUUACUGAAGCAUAAGAGACAGGAGUUUUUCGUCCCGGAUCUUAUUGGUACUCUUGAUGUGGAAGAAAAGGCGAGAGCAAAGGACACACGUGCUCGAGGUAUUGAGGGAGGAUCUAGUGCCAAUCUGGUACAGAAGAAAAACUCCCAGUCCCACAAGUUCAAGAACAAGGGCAAGCUUGAUGGUAAAGCAAAGUUUGAUGGGAAUAACAAGGCUGUACAACACACGAACUUCAAGAAGAAGAGUGACAAGAAGAAAGGUGCUUGUCAUGUGUGUGCAGAUCCUGAUCAUUGGGCUCCUAGUUGCCCCAGUCGCUAUGACAAGCGUCAUCCUGGGAAAGGCGGCAAGACCGCUAAUGUUGUCAUCGGAGACAUUGACAUGAAGGAUGCUGGGUAUGGUAUAUUUCCCACUAUUCUUUCGGUAUGUCAUUCUCCUGAUUGGUUGAUUGACACGGGUGCUAAUGUGCAUGUAUGCGGUGAUAUUUUCAUGUUUUCGUCUUAUCAGACCGCAGGGACUUCAACCGUGUUGAUGGGCAACGGUUCAAGUGCUUCUGUUCGUGGUGUUGGCACGGUCGAUCUGAAGUUUACUUCGGGAAAGAUCGUGCGGCUGAAGAACGUGCAUUAUGUCUCCUCCGUCAAUAAAAAUCUUGUUAGCGGAUCUCUUCUGUGUAGAGAUGGCUAUAAGCUUGUCUUUGAGUCGAAUAAAUUUGUAAUAUCAAAGUAUGGAACCUUCGUUGGUAAAGGCUAUGAGUCAGGAGGCCUGUUUCAUUUAUCCUUAUCAGAUGUUUGCAAUAAAGUUGUUAAUCAUAUUUGCAACAAUAGUGAAUCAAAUGUGUGGCAUUCACGUCUUUGUCAUGUUAACUUUGGUUGCAUGUCGCGACUAGCGAAGUUGAACUUAAUCCCUAAUUUCACCACUGUCAAGGGAUCUAAGUGUCAAGUGUGUGUGCAAGCUAAGCAACCUCGUAAGUCUCACGUGACCGCGGAGACGAGAAAUCUUGCACCACUAGAACUUAUACAUUUAGAUCUAUGUGAAAUGAAUGGUGUUUUGACAAAAGGUGGAAAGAAAUAUUUCAUGAUGUUAAUUGACGACUCCACUAGAUACUGCCGUGUGUAUCUUCUGAAAUCUAAGGAUGAGGCUUUGAACUUUUUCAAGAUCUAUAAAGCUGAAGUGGAAAACCAACUUGAUUAG
rnacentral:rRNA from 1 species